CGACGCUGGCGGCGUGCUUAACACAUGCAANUCGAGCGAAAGGAUUCCCUUCGGGGAUGAAUUUAGCGGCGGACGGGUGAGUAACACGUGGGCAACCUGCCUUAUAGAGGGGGAUAGCCUUCCGAAAGGAAGAUUAAUACCGCAUAACAUCAGACUAUCGCAUGGUAGACUGAUCAAAGGAGCAAUCCGCUAUAAGAUGGGCCCGCGUCGCAUUAGCUAGUUGGUGAGGUAACGGCUCACCAAGGCGACGAUGCGUAGCCGACCUGAGAGGGUGAUCGGCCACAUUGGGACUGAGACACGGCCCAGACUCCUACGGGAGGCAGCAGUGGGGAAUAUUGCACAAUGGGGGAAACCCUGAUGCAGCAACGCCGCGUGAGUGAUGAAGGCCUUCGGGUUGUAAAGCUCUGUCUUUGGGGACGAUAAUGACGGUACCCAAGGAGGAAGCCACGGCUAACUACGUGCCAGCAGCCGCGGUAAUACGUAGGUGGCAAGCGUUGUCCGGAUUUACUGGGCGUAAAGGGAGCGUAGGUGGAUAUUUAAGUGGGAUGUGAAAUCCCCGGGCUUAACCUGGGGGCUGCAUUCCAAACUGGAUGUCUAGAGUGCAGGAGAGGAGAGUGGAAU
rnacentral:rRNA from 1 species